UACGAAGGGGGCUAGCGUUGCUCGGAAUCACUGGGCGUAAAGCGCACGUAGGCGGCUUUCUAAGUCAGAGGUGAAAUCCUGGAGCUCAACUCCAGAACUGCCUUUGAUACUGGAGAGCUUGAGUUCGGGAGAGGUGAGUGGAACUGCGAGUGUAGAGGUGAAAUUCGUAGAUAUUCGCAAGAACACCAGUGGCGAAGGCGGCUCACUGGCCCGAUACUGACGCUGAGGCACGAAAGCGUGGGGAGCAAACAGG
rnacentral:rRNA from 1 species